CAAUGUCUAACGCCACUUUUUCAAGACGUCCACCUAUACCCUGGUAGUCUAAUGGUAACUGCACGUAGCUCAGUAGAUCAAUCUCCUAUAACUUAUUCUCAUAUGAUUUCAUUCUUUUACUCUAUUUCAUCCUGUUUUCUGUGGUUUAAUAGCGAGUAUGAAUUCAUGGCCUAUUAAAAUGCAGUCUCCUUCACAAGAUAUUCUAUCCUGUUCUCCUUAGUCUAACAGUAGGUAAUAAUUUUGCAUAUAUCUUCUAAAAAACCAAGCCUUGAGUCGAUUUGUAUUUUCCUCCCCUUUCUUUAUCCCGUUUCUCCGUAGCUAUGUAGUUUGCUAAUGUGCAAUCUAUGUAAUAUCCCCAUAAAUAAACCUAAUAGUGUGUCUCAUGUAAUCACUAGCUAUCUCCGCCCUCCGUCAGCACUAACAUGGCACCAGACCCCUUCAGUAGCGCCUCAGACCCUAUUAGAACCAGCAGGCAGCUCUUAUCGCACAUCCCCAUUAAUAAAACAAAUUUGAGACCGCUCCCUUAUCUCCCUUUCUUCCUCUGCUCGCUCAGGGACUGUUUAACGCAUCGAGAAGUCGUGUAAAUUAACGCACAUUCCUUAUCGUACAAUAUCAGCUGUGUCUUGAGGCCAGUGAAAACAGAUUAGUCCUGAUGAGACACAAAAAACCCUCCCUUUUUAAAUCAUUAUCUUCCUGCAUCCUGAAUACUUGAUUAUGCGACUCUCUCUCUCUCUCUCUCUCUCUCUGAAAGACACUGAAGGAAUGAACAAAAAACAAGCGGGUGAUGGACAUGAGGAUGAGUGAAGAGAGGGCAGUACAGAUAUGUAAAUGAGCGAGUGUUUAAAAGCGUGAUAUAAUGAGGGAAAAAGACCAAGCUAUCCCAGGCCAUACAUCUUAGUGCUCACCUCUCAUGAAGCAGUUCUGAGAUAGGUACAGUCAUUAACCAGCAGGCGAGAACAAACCACAUUCCCGCCCAGUGUUUUUUCCCGUCAUCCCCAUCCUCUGAUCUGCUGAAGAGCUAAAUGUUACGUUGCGUUAGUGGACUGUCAACAAGCCAGGAGGACGAAAGAUUCAGGAAGAACACUAAGUAAAGCGGGAGUGAAUCCUAUAUUUUGAAACGCUUCGCUCUCACCGAGACUGUUUUAAAGGUAAAAAAUAUAUCAGCUGAGUUUCCAGUGUUUCCCGUUAAUAAUGUAAAAAUCUUAUUGAUCCAUUACUAGAAACGUAAAAACAUCCUUGAAAGUCCGUAUCUGUUGGAAGUAGUCGAGGUGAGGACAUAAAUGUUUCAGAAUAGUGUGUGGUGGUGUCCAAGCCCAAGACUGUCCCGCCCGCAGCCUCACAUGGUGGAUUGUCGAACACGUAUCGUUCACUUCUUUCCUUUAGCACGGUCAAGCAAACAUUGCCGAAGUCACCACGCACGCUCCGCACAGCCUCCACCACCCCCAUCACCACCACAUCUCCCCGCCGAGCAACUACUCCACUCCACUCAGUACGCUGGGACAAACACUCCAGCCUGACCAUGCACCGCGCCUUGCUCUGGUCAUCAGCACUCGGCAUUCCACUGAUGUUGCACGGCCACAUAACCCGCCACACCAGCUGGGGCAUCUUGGCAGGGCAUGCAGCAGAAAAGAGACUCAAGUGGUCUCUGGCAAGCUCGGGAUUACACCAAGCAGCAGCUGUGUGUCACUCACUGCUGUGUGAAUGUACUGCUGUGAAUACUUUUGUUCCUUGGGUAGCUGUCAGAUGUUGUCUACAAUAUACAGUGUCAGUAACACACAAGCACUGGGUACCUGUGUGCUCCCUCAUAGUCUGACUGUCUACAUAACUAAAAGAAUUCAUGUGCACUUCAUUUUAUUUGCUGUUUUACCAAAAAUAUUUCAUUUGUUACCAUUUGGUGUUAGGAACACACCCUUAUCUAUGUAUGAAAUUCAUGAGUACAAUUGCAUUGAUAAGUUGCAUGAGUAGUAAUUACAAUUAGCUAUGUAUACCCAUAUUAUACUUACUUAUGUAUACCCAAAUAUUUGUUGCUAUGUAUAUAUGUACAAUUGACAGGGUAAGCAUUCACAUGAAUUAAAUGUGAGCUGCCAACACUUUCACCACACAUAAAUGUAAUUAAAAAUUGAAGAAAAUAAACUUUACAGAUGAA